rnacentral:rRNA from 1 species
GACGUAGGGGACGAGCGUUGUCCGGAUUCAUUGGGCGUAAAGAGCUCGUAGGCGGUUUGUCGCGUCUGGUGUGAAAACUCAAGGCUCAACCUUGAGCUUGCAUCGGGUACGGGCAGACUAGAGUGCGGUAGGGGAGAUUGGAAUUCCUGGUGUAGCGGUGGAAUGCGCAGAUAUCAGGAGGAACACCGAUGGCGAAGGCAGAUCUCUGGGCCGUAACUGACGCUGAGGAGCGAAAGCGUGGGGAGCGAACAGG